rnacentral:rRNA from 1 species
AUACGGAGGAUGUAAGCGUUAUCCGGAUUUAUUGGGUUUAAAGGGUGCGUAGGCGGAUGAUUAAGCGUGAGGUGAAAUGCCACUGCUCAACAGUGGAACUGCCUCGCGAACUGGUUGUCUUGAAUGCUCCUGCCGUGGGAGGAAUGUGUGGUGUAGCGGUGAAAUGCAUAGAGAUCACACAGAACACCGAUUGCGAAGGCAUCUCACGAAGGGGUGAUUGACGCUGAGGCACGAAAGCGUGGGGAUCAAACAGGAUUAGAUACCCUGGUAGUCCACGCAGUAAACGAUGAUAACUAACCGCUGGGUCGUAGUGAUUCAGUGGCCAAGCGAAAGCGAUAAGUUAUCCACCUGGGGAGUACGACCGCAAGGUUGAAACUCAAAUGAAUUGACGGGG